rnacentral:rRNA from 1 species
GAUGAACGCUAGCUACAGGCUUAACACAUGCAAGUCGAGGGGCAGCAUUAUCGAAGCUUGCUUUGAUAGAUGGCGACCGGCGCACGGGUGAGUAACGCGUAUCCAACCUUCCCCAUAGUCAGGAAUAGCCCGGCGAAAGUCGAAUUAAUGCCUGAUGUUUUCCACGGACGGCAUCUGAUGUGGAACAAAGAUUCAUCGCUAUGGGAUGGGGAUGCGUCUGAUUAGCUUGUUGGCGGGGUAACGGCCCACCAAGGCAACGAUCAGUAGGGGUUCUGAGAGGAAGGUCCCCCCACAUUGGAACUGAGACACGGUCCAAACUCCUACGGGAGGCAGCAGUGAGGAAUAUUGGUCAAUGGGCGGAAGCCUGAACCAGCCAAGUAGCGUGAGGGAUGACUGCCCUAUGGGUUGUAAACCUCUUUUUAUAAGGGAAUAAAAUACGGGACGUGUCCUGUUUUGCAUGUACCUUAUGAAUAAGGACCGCUAAUUCCGUGCCAGCAGCCG